AAAUGACUGCACUCAAAAAGAAUAUCAUAUUAGGAUAUGACACUUUCAUAGACUCAGUAUAUACAAAUGCAUAUAUUGGGCCUCGAAUGAUCAAAGCAACCGCUUCAAAAACAGCAAACGCAGCUAAUACUCGACCAUUAUAUUCGGACUGGACUCCAUUAAGAGCAAUAGAUUGUACGCAAGGAACAACCAUAUUUGAGAUGGCUUGUAUAAUAACAGCGGUGAAAAGUGCAACAUCGGAUUUGGCAACUGCUAACAAUACCGCUGCACUCAAAGCAAUAGCAUAGCCUAACUGUGCAUUCCAAACGUCUCGUUUAACUAUAGUGUAUUUCUCGUCAGCCGUUCUACCACGCAAUAUACUAGAACGUGAAUAACCAGGACGAACUAAAUAAGAGAAAACAUUUCGAAUCCCUUGUAGGGAAGAGGUAUUGUCUGCACGACUUGGAUCUUCAAAUAAUCCUUCAGAAGAAUAAAGCUUUUCGAUUAUUUUUUCGAUAACUUUAGAAAGUAAAGGGAAUAGCGCAACUAAUGUGAUUGAACUAGCAAAAGAGUCGGUGGAUAAUAUUAAGCUAGCCUUCAUUGGACCCCAGCCAAAUUUAUAGUCCGUAUAAAGCGGCAAUAAGCCCAUUGAACCAGCGCCGAGUAAAGUUAAAGAUAUCAAUAUU